CUUUAAAGAAAGCGUAACAGCUCACUGGUCUAGUGAUUCUGCGCGGAAAAUAUAACGGGGCUAAGAUGUACACCGAAGCUUUAGAUUCAAUUUUUAAUUGAGUGGUAGGAGAGCGUUCUAUUCAGCGUUGAAGGUAUACCGGUAAGGAGUGCUGGAGCGGAUAGAAGUGAGCAUGCAGGCAUGAGUAGCGAUAAUUAAGGUGAGAAUCCUUAACNCCGAAAACCCAAGGUUUCCUACNCNAUNCUCGUCAUCGUAGGGUUAGUCGGGUCCUAAGUCGAGACUGAAAANUNUAGACNAUNGCAAAUNGGUUAAUAUUCCAAUACCAACAUAUAAGCGCGAUGUGGGGACGCAUAGAGUUAGUCGAGCUCACUGAUGGAAUAGUGGGUCGAAGGAUGUAGGUUGUUAAGUAGGCAAAUCCGCUUAACGUUAGACCGAGAUCUUACAGGCUCUUGACACUCUUCGGAGGAGAUGGAGAAUCGAUGAUACUGUCGUGCCAAGAAAAGCCACUAAGUUUAUUAUAUGUUGCCCGUACCGUAAACCGACACAGGUGGGUGGGAUGAGUAUUCUAAGGCGCGUGGAAGAACCCUCUUUAAGGAACUCUNNAAAAUAGNACCGNAUNUUCGGUAUAAGGUGUGCCUACUUUGGUAUAGAAACUUGCUUUGCAAAAGGCUGAAGAGGUUGNAANAAAGAGUCCCUCCCGACUGUUUACCAAAAACACAGCACUUUGCUAACACGUAAGUGGAUGUAUAAGGUGUGACGCCUACCCGAUGCUCGAAGGUUAAUUGAUGAUGUCAGCGCAAGCGAAGCAUUUGAUCGAAGCCCG
rnacentral:rRNA from 1 species